GAUGAACGCUGGCGGCGUGCCUAAUACAUGCAAGUCGAGCGAACGGACGAGAAGCUUGCUUCUCUGAUGUUAGCGGCGGACGGGUGAGUAACACGUGGAUAACCUACCUAUAAGACUGGGAUAACUUCGGGAAACCGGAGCUAAUACCGGAUAAUAUUUUGAACCGCAUGGUUCAAAAGUGAAAGACGGUCUUGCUGUCACUUAUAGAUGGAUCCGCGCUGCAUUAGCUAGUUGGUAAGGUAACGGCUUACCAAGGCAACGAUGCAUAGCCGACCUGAGAGGGUGAUCGGCCACACUGGAACUGAGACACGGUCCAGACUCCUACGGGAGGCAGCAGUAGGGAAUCUUCCGCAAUGGGCGAAAGCCUGACGGAGCAACGCCGCGUGAGUGAUGAAGGUCUUCGGAUCGUAAAACUCUGUUAUUAGGGAAGAACAUAUGUGUAAGUAACUGUGCACAUCUUGACGGUACCUAAUCAGAAAGCCACGGCUAACUACGUGCCAGCAGCCGCGGUAAUACGUAGGUGGCAAGCGUUAUCCGGAAUUAUUGGGCGUAAAGCGCGCGUAGGCGGUUUUUUAAGUCUGAUGUGAAAGCCCACGGCUCAACCGUGGAGGGUCAUUGGAAACUGGAAAACUUGAGUGCAGAAGAGGAAAGUGGAAUUCCAUGUGUAGCGGUGAAAUGCGCAGAGAUAUGGAGGAACACCAGUGGCGAAGGCGACUUUCUGGUCUGUAACUGACGCUGAUGUGCGAAAGCGUGGGGAUCAAACAGGAUUAGAUACCCUGGUAGUCCACGCCGUAAACGAUGAGUGCUAAGUGUUAGGGGGUUUCCGCCCCUUAGUGCUGCAGCUAACGCAUUAGGCACUCCGCCUGGGGAGUACGACCGCAAGGUUGAAACUCAAAGGAAUUGACGGGGACCCGCACAAGCGGUGGAGCAUGUGGUUUAAUUCGAAGCAACGCGAAGAACCUUACCAAAUCUUGACAUCCUUUGACAACUCUAGAGAUAGAGCUUCCCCCUUCGGGGGACAAAGUGACAGGUGGUGCAUGGUUGUCGUCAGCUCGUGUCGUGAGAUGUUGGGUUAAGUCCCGCAACGAGCGCAACCCUUAAGCUUAGUUGCCAUCAUUAAGUUGGGCACUCUAAGUUGACUGCCGGUGACAAACCGGAGGAAGGUGGGGAUGACGUCAAAUCAUCAUGCCCCUUAUGAUUUGGGCUACACACGUGCUACAAUGGACAAUACAAAGGGCAGCGAAACCGCGAGGUCAAGCAAAUCCCAUAAAGUUGUUCUCAGUUCGGAUUGUAGUCUGCAACUCGACUACAUGAAGCUGGAAUCGCUAGUAAUCGUAGAUCAGCAUGCUACGGUGAAUACGUUCCCGGGUCU
rnacentral:rRNA from 1 species